AAUAAUAUUCGGUAGGUGAGGCUACCUCAGGGAUAUGGGUUGCUGCCGGUUAAAGGUGGAGACACUCUUAAUCUGGUCAACAGUCUGCGUCGUUUCAAGGCGCCGAAUAACGCAACUGCACGCCCUGGGAAGCUAAAGCUUGAACGAUAUGAUACGUAC
rfam:Lachnoclostridium sp. An14 An14_contig_10, whole genome shotgun sequence.